ACUGUAGACAUGAGAUGUAAACACUUCUUGGAGAUGACCAUUUCUCCUGUCCAGCUUGCAGUCAGGAUAUGGUGGCAGUGUCUCUUGAUGGGAACAGGAUAAUGUACAGGUUUAAUCGCAACGGGAUAAAUGAAAAUCCAUAUUUUGACGGAACCUUCUUUGCCAAAAAUGAAGAGGUUGCAGAGUUUUUGCAAACUAUUAGAGACAAAAUCAAAACUUCACCAGGCCGACCCAUUUGUGGAAACUCACACUUUAAAGCUGGUAGUGAGUCUAACAAGAAGUCUCAAUCCAAACUUGAUGAAGAGGGUGUGAUGAUUUCAGUCUGUAGACACUGCAUUCUUUUGAAUGGACUACAGAUGUACCGUGGAGAAGUGUUUGCAUACCCUCUUUAGCUUCAAAAAGAGCUUGGCAAGACACAAAAGAUUGUGUUUGUCUGCACUGAUGCAAUGUGCAAAUAUUACACAUACUUAAAAAGAGUGUGUGAGGCCUUUCCUGAUCUAGAGUAUCUUUUGCAAAUGCGACCAUUCUUAUCAGUUAUGCAUGCAAAAGGUCUUUCAACCAAAUGUGAGGUAAUUGUAUUGAUUAUAUAUUUAUUUUU